rnacentral:lncRNA from 1 species
CGGUCCUCGGCGGCGGCGGCAACCGGGCGGAGGUUUUGCUGUCUCUGUGCGCUCCCGGGUGGAGUAAACGCGGUUGGGAAAGGCGAAAGCGGCAACGGCCGUUGAGCACCUAAAGAAAGCGGUCCGGAAUUGGCGACCCACGCAAGGCGGCGGGAAGCGAGAGUGGAGAAAGUGCGCUCGGGGCUUGGGCGAAAGGCGCUUUCCAGACGGCUGUUCCUCGCGCAGCUGCGUGGCGGAGCAAAGACUUUCGUGAGUUGCCGGCGCAGCUUUAAAUAGUUUGGCUGUAAGGAAAAGUAGGAGGAGGAGGAGGAGUUAGGCACGUCCCUCCCCUGGAGUGUUUCAGCGCUGGGCAGGUUCCUCGCUCCUGUCUUUGUCAUUUUCGGGAGGAACAUUUUUUUUCUCUCUCUCCCAUGCUCCAUCAGGGACUUUCCUGCAGUUGAAGUCCAGCCAAAAUGUGCUGCCUCCUGGAAGGAUAAUAAUGCACGUUUUGCUGGAGGCCAUCGCUUCUUUAACUCUGAAUUGGUGCGACAAACCAGGUUAAUGCGUGGCUGCGGCUGCAAAACAUCCGCCAGUUCGGGCUGAAAGGGCUGAAUCAGAAUGGAUCUGACAUUCCCAAAGAUUUUGCUUGACUUUCUGUUUGUUGGAACUUCCCAAAUAUAAAAUAAUGCAAAAAUGAAGAAACGUAUGCGAUGAAAGCUCCCAGUCAUAAACAGGUAUCUAUAAUUGUUAAAUUACUAAAAUCUAUCAAGGCAUUCUGAUGCAGUCAGCAGAGUUAGAAUAUUAGAGAAAUCGAGGAGGGUCUAGGUAGGAUUCCUAGGAGAGAAUGAGUUUGCUAAGACAACCAACUGCUUUAAGUGGGGAGAACUGAAACGAUUUCCUGAGUAAACAUCUACUGACAAAUACAGCCAGACCAAAACGUGAGUUCAACAUCCAACUCUUUUCAACUUAUGAGAAAGAGCAGCAUUACUAUAUCAAAAGUCAAGAGCUGAGUUUUCUGCUAUGACACAUAAAUGACAUAACAUUUGUCAUGAUAACAUUUUGUUUAAAAAAAUGGCAGUCUGAAGAAGAGGAAGCUAAAAUGCUGCAUUAACAAGGGAAAAAUCUUGGUUGGGUUUGGAUUAUGAUGUUUCUAUAAACUGCAAAUGGAAGCACGGUCUGCUUGAACUCAACCAAUUGCAGAAGAAUCUCUUUUAGAUCUGCCCAUCUCUGUCUGGGCAGUGUGAGUUAAAUUAAGUCUGUAUGUUGUUGUACUAAAUUUUUUA